UUGUUCUCUAGUUUACUACCAUGCAGUAGGUGGCGGCAUGCACAUUCAAAUUGUGUCAACGCCUUUAUACCAUAGAAUAAGAGAUGUAGAACGCGGAAGUUACGUUCCUGAUAGUUUUCCUCUCGUUCCCUGUCAACAAUUGACGAUAAUUAAUCUUAGCUACUCUACAACUUUCAAAGGUGCCAGGAGAUAAUUAGCACAGGUGGUCCCUCUGCCUUCUGCAAACACGUGCAGUAACAUGGAGAUAUUGCUGUGUGGGAACCCUAAGCCUAAAAAGAUCCACCUACCACAUGGGCCUACUAUGGCUGAACCCAAGUCCAUGGAGUCCCCGGGUUCUGGCUGUGGUGUUCCAUCACAGAGAAGCUCACAGCAGGGUCCAGAGAUGGUCUCAGUGAAGCUGGAGGACUGCAGUCAACCACUGGAAGUCAAUGAGAUUGUGAUCGGGGAAGAGAGAGAACUUAAAGUAGAACUUAAAGAAGGAGAAGAAAGAGAGAGGAGUGAAAGAGGAAGCUGAGAUACAAGUCAAAGAAGAAGAGGAGAACAGAGAAGUGUCUGCUCCAGAUCUAGACGAAGAGGAGCAAGAAGUAGAUAGUAUCACUGACCCAGGAGAGAUCUCCAACCCAGGUUCAGACAGUGAGCCCAGUUCCACAGCAUCAGGAAACAAUAAACACAGACAGAGGAACUCAAGACAGAAACAUCACCACUGCAUGGACUGCUUCACUAGUUUCUAUGAGCCAAAGGAGUUGAAGACACACUUGUAGGCCCCAACCCUGCUCAGACUGCAGAGACAGUUUUAUUUGUCCAAUUGACCUUAAAUCACCCCAACAGACUCUCAAAAGAAAGAAAACUUACCCCUGUGAUCAAUGGGGGAAUAGCAAACUAAAGAUGUACCAAGUAACUCAAAGGGA
ensembl:lncRNA